GCCUUUAUGGCCACACCAUCCUGAGGGCACGGGAUCUUGACUGAUCUUGGAAGCUAAUCAGAGUAGGGCCUGGCUAGUACUUGGGAUGCGAGACCCCCUGGGAAUACUGGGUGCUGAAGGCU
ensembl:rRNA 5S_rRNA 5S ribosomal RNA